AGCCUACAAACAGGAGGGGAAUCAACUCUUUGAAAGGGUAGAUAACAGCAGGACAAGGGGAAAUGGUUUGAAGUUGAGGGAGGGGAGAUUUAGGUUGGAUGUCAGGGGGAAGGUCUUUAUAGAGAGAGUGGUGAGGUGCUGGAACAGGCUGCCCAGAGAGGCUGUGGAUGCCCCGUCCCUGGAGGUGUUCAAGGCCAGGUUGGAUGGGGCCCUGGGCAGCCUGGUCUAGUAUUAAAUGUGGAGGUUGGUGGCCCUGCCUGUGGCAGGGGGUUGGAGAUUCAUGAUCCUUGAGGUCCCUUCCAACCCAGGCCAUUCUAUGAUUCUGUGACCCAAGGCAAGUUAUUACUGACUGCCAGCACAGAAAACAAACAUCCAGGAAAAAGAAGUGCCACAGUAGCUCUGGGUUUUGUGUAUUUCACAAAGGAAGUUAAAAAAUAAAAAUAAAAAAAAAAAAAUCACUGAGAAUUUAAUCAUAGUAUCAUGGUUGGAAAAGACCUCUGAGAUCACUCAGUCCAACCACCAGCCCAUGCCCACUGACCACGUCCCUCAGUGCCAUACCCACACGGCUCUUCAGCACCCUCAGGGACAGUGGCUGCACCACCUCCCUGCACCAUCUACCUCACCACUCUUCAUAGAUGAAAAUUUUCUCAUUAUCCAACCUGAAUCUCCCCUGGCACAAUCUGAGGCCAUCAUUCCCUCUCACCCUAUUGCUGUUACCUGGUUCAAGAGGCCAACUCCCAUCUCAUUACAACCUCCCUUCAGGUAGUUGUGGAGAGUGAUAAGGUCUCCCCUGAGCCUCCUCUUCUCCAGACUUAACAAUCCCAGUUCCUUUAGCCCAUAAGAUUUGUGCUCCAGACUCCUCACAGCUUCAUUACCCUUCUCUGGAUACUCUCCAAGGUCUUGAUGUCUUUCUUGUAGCGAAAGGCCCAAAACUGAACACAGUACUCGAGGUGAAGCCUCACCAGUACCAAAUACAGAACCAAACAUAAUUCAUGGAAUGAGCUUUCCUACCUGGAUCAAGCUUUCAUCUGUCAGCAAGCAGCAGGCAAAGACAAAUCCAGAGACAGUGGUGCUGGGAAUCACCAUGAAGGCCCUGCUUAUGUUUGGGAGAGUUCGGCCCAAGUUACCAUCAACAAGUAACCAGACUGUCAUAGCUGUAGGAAUUCUCAUUUCUAAUGACUGCAAACCAGCAGCACCUGUUCAGAAAGGAAACAAAUGGCAAUACGCAUGUCCUUCUUUGUCUGUCUUUCCCACAUCCCAGGGACAACCGGACUGAACUUUCAAAGAGAUGAGAGGCCACCAGUCAAAAAGCCACUAAAAGGCAGCCCCUUGCUGGAACCAGCAAGUACACCUUCAAGGAAGAAAUCUUUGUCCUAAAAUAUCAGCUUACAUUCUGUCACUCAUGGCAUCUUCCUACUGCUGUUCUUUUCCUCUCCUCUGUACGCACCUUCAUUCCCCUUUUCCUUCUUCCAUUUGGUUUUCUUCCCAGCCGUGGGGCUCAGUGCCCUGUUCCAGCUGUCCCACUCCAGCUGGAGUUAGUUCGUCCACUCACACACACAUAGUUCAAUGCUCUGCUCCUGUCUCACUUCACCAUGGCCUCAGGCACACACACACCCCGUCCCCGUCCCUCCUGGGCAGGAAGGAUGCUGUUGGGGUUGCACAGCUGUUUGCUCUCUAUCCUUGCUUUAGCUGCCUCCUUUCCUGCUUUCUCCCCAGCCCUGGGGCAGCAGCAGCUUUGGUCAAGCAGCACGGUACACCAUAGCAUCAGCCUGUGUGAGGAGGGGGAACUACAGCAGUACAUCAAGCAAAACCCACACACAGCAGCAGCCCGGGAAGGGGCUCAUGCCAAUCUGUUCCUUGGACAGCACCAGCCAGUUAUUUGUGCACGUGUGAGAGCGUACAGGAAGAGGGAUGAGGCAGGCAGCCAGGCCUCAGAUCCCUCUCUAUAACUUAAUUUGUACAACCAAAAGAAGCAGACAUACUAAAACACGAGCAGACAGACAAAAAAGUGAGACCAGUGCAGCAAAUGGUCUGUCACAUUUGCUGGGCUAGGCAGAAACCAAAGCCAGGCAUGGACUAUUUGCUAAAUACAGCACAUCAGUGCUCAGCGACUUUUUGGGGGGCAGGCUGAAGGGAAAAAGUUUUCCUUCACGUUUUGGCUUGUUAAAGUGUUACAAGCUCAAGUGGAAAUGAUUUACUCCUGAUGGAUGCGGCGCUGCUGUUGGACUGAUGAGUUUAAUAACCUACGGACACGGAGAGUGAAGCCCUAAAUAAAUCACAACAAAUGAAAAUACUGUUAGCAGUUUCAUAAUUUAAUGAAAAAGUACUUGUAAAAAGGGGACAUCUGAAAAAGACCGAGUCCAUCUUGGAAAAUUGAAUAUAUAUAUAUAUAUUUAUAUAUAUAAAACAAAAUGCAAAAACAAAAAAAAAAAAUAAAAAAUCAACAAAUAA